rnacentral:rRNA from 1 species
AACGAACGCUGGCGGCAGGCCUAAAACAUGCAAGUCGAACGAACCUUCGGGUUAGUGGCGCACGGGUGAGUAACGCGUGGGAAUGUGCCUCUGGGUGCGGAACAACGUCGGGAAACUGACGCUAAUACCGCAUAAUGUCUUCGGACCAAAGAUUUAUCGCCCAGAGAUCAGCCCGCGUUAGAUUAGGUAGUUGGUGGGGUAAUGGCCUACCAAGCCUACGAUCUAUAGCUGGUCUGAGAGGAUGAUCAGCCACACUGGAACUGAGACACGGUCCAGACUUCGACGGGAGGCAGCAGUUAGUAAUAUUGGACAAUGGGCGCAAGCCUGAUCCAGCCAUGCCGCGUGUGUGACGAAGGCCUUAGGGUUGUAAAGCACUUUCGUCCGCGAAGAUAAUGACAGUAACGGAAGAAGAAGCUCCGGCUAAAUUCGUGCCAGCCGCCGCGGUAA